UGACCUCAGAUCAGAUAAGGAUACCCGCUGAACUUAAGCAUAUCAAUAAGCGGAGGAAAAGAAACCAACAGGGAUUGCCUCAGUAACGGCGAGUGAAGCGGCAACAGCUCAAAUUUGAAAUCUGGAGCCUUCGGCUUCCGAGUUGUAAUUUGAAGAGGAUGUUUCGGUGCGACCUGGGCCUAAGUUCCUUGGAACAGGACGUCAUGGAGGGUGAGAAUCCCGUACAUGGCUGCAGGUUUGCUUCUAUGUGAAACUCCUUCGAAGAGUCGAGUUGUUUGGGAAUGCAGCUCAAAAUGGGUGGUAAAUUUCAUCUAAAGCUAAAUAUUGGCGGGAGACCGAUAGCGCACAAGUAGAGUGAUCGAAAGAUGAAAAGCACUUUGAAAAGAGAGUUAAACAGUACGUGAAAUUGUUGAAAGGGAAGCGCUUGCAAUCAGACUCGCCUUCAGUUGAUCAACCUUCCUUCUGGUUGGUGCACUCUGCUGUUGGCGGGCCAGCAUCAGUUGGGGCGGUGGGACAAAGGCAGUGGGAAUGUGGCUCACUUCGGUGAGUGUUAUAGCCCAUUGUGUCAUGCCACCAGUCCCGACUGAGGUCCGCGGUUCGCCUAGGAUGCUGGCUUA
rnacentral:rRNA from 1 species